UGGCGAAUGGGUGAGUAACACGUGGGUGAUCUGCCCUGCACUUCGGGAUAAGCCUGGGAAACUGGGUCUAAUACCGGAUAGGACCAUGCUUUAGUGUGUGUGGUGGAAAGUUUUUCGGUGCAAGAUGAGCCCGCGGCCUAUCAGCUUGUUGGUGGGGUAAUGGCCUACCAAGGCGACGACGGGUAGCCGGCCUGAGAGGGUGUACGGCCACAUUGGGACUGAGAUACGGCCCAG
rnacentral:rRNA from 1 species